AGCUCUCAGGAAUCUGGUGGUGCGGGGCUGAGGAACAAUAUGAGAAAGGGAGCCAGCGCUGGGACGUGGUGAGCAGGCCCAGCCGACCAUCUCGGCAGGGAAGCCUAAAGCGUUCCACAAGGCACCCACUUAGUUGAUUGUCUCAGCGGGAACAGCGCCACCAGACAUUUUGAGAGCUU
rnacentral:other from 1 species